rnacentral:rRNA from 1 species
GCAAGUCGAACGAAGUAGCAAUACUUAGUGGCAGACGGGUGAGUAACAUGUAGGUAUCUGCCCUUUGGCCUGGAAUAACACGAGGAAACUUGUGCUAAUACCGGAUAAGUCUUUACGGAGAAAGCUUUAUGCACCAUUGGAUGAGCCUGCACUUGAUUAGUUUGUUGGUGGGGUAAUGGCCUACCAAGACUGUGAUCAAUAGCUGAUUUGAGAGGAUGAUCAGCCACAUUGGGACUGAGACACGGCCCAAACUCCUACGGGAGGCAGCAGUGGGGAAUCUUGCACAAUGGAGGAAACUCUGAUGCAGCGAUGCCGCGUGAGUGAAGAAGGCCCUUGGGUUGUAAAGCUCUUUCGUCGGGGAAGAAAAUGACUGUACCCGAAUAAGAAGGUCCGGCUAACUUCGUGCCAGCAGCCGCGGUAAUACGAAGGGACCUAGCGUAGUUCGGAAUUACUGGGCUUAAAGAGUUCGUAGGUGGUUGAAAAAGUUGGUGGUGAAAUCCCAGAGCUUAACUCUGGAACUGCCAUCAAAACUUUUCAGCUAGAGUAUGAUAGAGGAAAGCAGAAUUUCUAGUGUAGAGGUGAAAUUCGUAGAUAUUAGAAAGAAUACCAAUUGCGAGGGCAGCUUUCUGGAUCAUUACUGACACUGAGGAACGAAAGCAUGGGUAGCGAAGAGGAUUAGAUACCCUCGUAGUCCAUGCCGUAAACGAUGUGUGUUAGACGUU